GCAAAGUGAACCUAUCAUAGGUUCUGCUUGGCAAGAGUUGUUUAGAGGGUGUGUGCCUUUGGUUUCCUUUGAAGCUUCUUCCACACAGCUGUAUAAAAUCCACAUUGAACUAGAUUAUCUGGCAAUAUGGACUCAGGCGACAUGCUUGAACUGCCAGGAUACACUGAUUGAGUUUCAGGAUCUGAGCUCUAGGAAACUUGACAAGCCUGCAUGAAUGAAAGGACUCAAAUACUUUGUCUAUUAUCCCAUAUUACAGUCGUCUCAAAAACUGAGAGAGGAAAAAAACCCACCCUGAUGUCUAUGGUCAAAAAGCUUUUAAAAAUCAAUACAUUCAAAUAAAAUUCCUUUU
rnacentral:lncRNA from 11 species